UGAGGGAGAGUUUAAAACCUUGAAGAAUAGUGAGUUCCCCGUUGCUGGAAGUAUUCAAGCAAAGAUUAGAUGGUUGCUUGUCAUCUAAAAAGCUGUAGACCAGAUCUAGGUUACAAAACGAUAACUGGAAAAGCUUAUAAACAUGUUGUGCAAUACCUCUUUACUUGCUUCUCAUAUUUAGGUCUGCCAAAAGUUUUAAAAACUGAUAAUGCCCCUUUGAAGCUGCGGAGAGAUUGUUUACUAACUUUAAAUGAUUUCCAAAAAUUAUUAGGGGACAUUAAUUGGAUACACCCUCAUUUAAAACUGACUACUGCAGAUUUAAAGCCUUUAUUUGAUUGCUUAAAAAUUGAUCCUAAUUCCAGUUCUAAGAGAAAGUUGACUAAUGAGACAGAGUUAGCUCUUGUUGAAGUGUAUGAGACUUUAAAUGAUCAGUUAAUUAGGAUUAAUAUUACCAAAAGAUGAGAUUAAAUUAUUCUUCCAACAAAACAUACACCUACAGGGUGCUUGUGACAAAAAGGCCCAUUGGUUCCAUCUACCAGUGAUCCCAAGAAAAAUAGUUUUAUCUUAUCCCAGCUUGGUGGCACAAUUAAUUAUAAAAGGAGGAAAAAAGAAGUGUGGAACUUUUUAGAAAAGAAGUAGCAAAUAUAAUAAUUUCACUCAAUAAGGAUCAACUGCAAGUCUUUUACAAAAUAGUGAUGAUUGUCAAGUUGCCCUGAUAGAUUUCAGGGGUCAAAUUUUGUUUCAUUUGCCCUCAAGCCCCCACAGUAGUUAAAAGUUCAAAAAUGUUAGAUUGGCAGUUUGAGGAUACCUGUGGAACUUUCCAACUGUAUGUAGUUCCUACGCUCCCCUUUACCCUAUGGGGGAGGGACGUGCUGUCUCAAAUAGGAGAUACUCAGAGAAGGGUUUUCUCAAUUUCUUAGUUAUCAACAGGUGGUACAAUUAACAAUACUUUAUAUAUUGUUAUAAAUACGUAUGGGUAUAAAUAAAACAUAAUAAAGGUAUACCUAAUUCUAUUUAUAGAUCUAUACUUACUUAAUUUGUAUAUAAAUCAAUAUAUGUAUUAUAUAUAUACUGUAUAAUUAAAUGUAUAUUGCAGUAAUAUAAUGUGUGUGGCUGAUAUUAAUUGGUAUGGAUUGAUGUGCUGUGAUAUAUGUUCUGUAUGCUGUAUAAUUAUAUAUGUGUGACAUGUAUUAUUACAGUACAUUGGUUUGUGUUGGUUGGUAUUGGCUGUGUGCGUGUUGUAUUGCUGUAAUAUAUAUGAAUUAAUAUAUUAAUUAUAAGAUUAAUUCAAGUAUAUUGAUUUAUAUAUAUUGUAUGUCAAUAAGUUUAUACUUGUUGCCAUAUAUAAA
ensembl:lncRNA